CUCUCAAUACCUCCAUCCCACCGUCGAAAUUCCAUCUCUAUCCAUCGCACUCAAUCCAACGGUAUCCAACGGUAGAGGAAGGUGGAGUUCGCACUCUACAAGAAUGCACUGUAAUUGCUCCCUUUCUUAAUCAAUUUUUCGGCCAACAUGUUUCUUCAGAUUCCUCGCCGAUCUUUUCUCUCCGUGUUUCUUCUACUAACUCCAUUUAUAUAUUUAUAUUAUAUAUUAUACAUAUAGUCAUAUAUAUACUAUCUCUCAUGAAAAGAAGAGUUGAAAUGUAAGACGGAAUUGUUCUAGGAAUUUGAAAUCACUCUAAUUUCUCUCUCUAAGAUUGAGUUUGAUUCAAAUUAUUAAACUGUUUGAAUUCGGAUUUGUGUCUGUUGCAAGUCUGACUCCUACAAAUUUCAAUUCUAGUUUCCUCACAUAUAUAUCCAAGCUUCAUACCAGAGCUGAAACAGAGUAGCUCUUGUACACAGUAGUUUUCUACUCGCAGAGAGAGAAUGUACGACGGAGGUGGCGAUAGUGGCCGAGGAGGAGGUUUUUAUGGGUAUAAGAGUGGGGUGGUGAUGACACGUGACCAGAAACCAAGGCUGAGAUGGACGGCUGAUCUUCAUGACAGAUUUGUUGAUGCAGUCACCAAGCUUGGUGGCCCAGAAAAAGCAACUCCAAAGUCGGUGUUGAGGGUUAUGGGCUUGAAGGGCUUGACAUUGUACCAUCUAAAGAGCCACUUACAGAAGUAUAGACUUGGACAGCAAGCCAAAAACCAAAACACUGGAGAACAAAACAAAGAGGAUAAUGGAGAUCCCUAUGGACACUACCAUAUGCAAUCCUCGAGCACAAUUACAAAUUCAUCGAGAGGGAAUAGUGAACGAGGAGAAGUCCCAAUUGCAGAGGCACUAAGGUGUCAGAUUGAAGUGCAGAAAAGACUACAGGAGCAGCUUGAGGUACAGAAGAAAUUACAGAUGAGAAUUGAGGCCCAAGGGAAGUACUUGCAAGAAAUAUUAGAGAAAGCUCAAAAGAGUCUAUCACUUGAUAUGAACUGUCCUGUUGGUCUAGAAGCAACAAGAUCACAACUAACCAACUUCAAUUUGACUUUAUCUAAUCUUGUGGAGAAUAUGAAUAGAGAAGAGAGGAAUGAGCAUGUUACAGAAAAGAGCAUAUUUAAUCAUACAAAUGGGAAGGCAAAUGAAUCAGUUUACUUGGGAGAGGAACAAGAACAGAAAGAUGUCAAGCUUAAGGUUAAAGGAGGUUCUAUAAAUUUUGAUUUGAAUACCAGAGGCAGUUAUGACUUGUUAGCGCAAAUGGAGCCAAAAUGGAACCCAUGACACCUGCAUAGAGGAGUUAUAUGGGACUUGAACCGAGGACCUCUCACUUUGGGAGGUGAGGAGAUACCACUAGGCUACAGCCCUUGUCAUUGUGCGGCUAUGUGGAAUCAGUGGAAUGGAAGAAUAGAAGGGUCACACUUCUGGAUCUGAAAAUAGGAGGUGCAGUAUGUGUAUUAUGUGUAAAUUGGCUUUGGGUUAAUUGGACUGAUCUACAGAUUGGCUUUGGAGCAACAAACACAGAACAAGAGUUCAAGGAAGAAGGAAAGUGAUGAAGGAGAGAAAAUGGAAGCAAAAUGCCAAAGAAUCCAAAUAAGAAUUAUUUAACAUCAUGUUCAUUAUGUAGAAAUGGAUUUUAUAAUUGUAGAAAAUGUACCAUCAUUUCAGUUUAUCAAAUUUGUACCUUUCACAUUGCCAUCUCCAUAUAGGCACACUUUGUGUUUAGGAGGAAUGAGUGUGCCAAGUUGACAGAGGCUACCCACAAAGUAACCACCAAAGCAGUUGGCAGACACAUAAGUGAAGGGGAUUUUAGUUUCUUCAA